rnacentral:lncRNA from 1 species
UGUGUCCUUGCUUUUGCUGUCUUCCGCUGCCAUGAACUGUUGCCUCCCUGCCAUCCCAGCCUCGGAGCCAGCCGAUUGUGGACUGAAACCUCUAUGAACUUUUCAUCAGGUGCUACUGACUCUUAGGACUCAGAAGGUUCCCCUCUCUCCUGUGUUUGAGCUGUUCCAGUUCUCAGCCUGAACUUCGCACCCCUCAUACAGUGGCCUGGGGAUUUCUGAAUCUGUCACACCAUGAGCAAGCAGAAGAGGAAGAGCAAUAUUUCUGGACUAUUCAUCAAGACAUCUCAUUCCACAAGCAGCAUCUGACUUUGUUAAGAAACAAAAAGGCAUUCAACCAGAAGCCAGAGGCAACAUGAUUUAUGGGGUUGGAAGAAUCAUUGUUUUAACCAUCUCAAAAUAGAAUCUUCUCUAUAAGAGCAAGGAUCAUGUUUCAUUUCUGAAUGCUACUGCCUAGCUCAGCAUCUGCUACACAGCAGGCACUCAAUAAAUGUAUCUUGGAUGAAAGGAG